rnacentral:misc_RNA from 1 species
GAUGAAGAACGUAGCAAAAUGCGAUACUUGGUGUGAAUUGCAGAAUCCCGUGAACCAUCGAGUUUUUGAACGCAAGUUGCGCCCGAAGCCUUUUGGCCGAGGGCACGUCUGCCUGGGCAUCACGCAUCGCGUCGCCCCCCACAAAUUCUCCUCAGGGGAGCUUGUGUUUCGGGGGCGGAUACUGGUCUCCCGUGCUCAUGGCGCGGUUGGCCGAAAUAGGAGUCCCUUCGAUGGACGCACGAACUAGUGGUGGUCGUAAAAACCCUCGUCUUUUGUUUCGUGCCGUUAGUCGCGAGGGAAGCUCUUCAAAAACCCCAGCGCGUCGUCUCUUGACGGCGCUUCGACCGCGACCCCAGGUCAGGCGGGACUACCCGCUGAGUUUAAGCAUAUCAAUAAGCGGAGGA